GACGAACGCUGGCGGCGUGCUUAACACAUGCAAGUCGAACGGAAAGACCCUGCUUUUGUGGGGUGCUCGAGUGGCGAACGGGUGAGUAACACGUGAGUAACCUGCCCUUGACUUUGGGAUAACUUCAGGAAACUGGGGCUAAUACCGGAUAGGAGCUCCUGCUGCAUGGUGGGGGUUGGAAAGUUUCGGCGGUUGGGGAUGGACUCGCGGCUUAUCAGCUUGUUGGUGGGGUAGUGGCUUACCAAGGCUUUGACGGGUAGCCGGCCUGAGAGGGUGACCGGCCACAUUGGGACUGAGAUACGGCCCAGACUCCUACGGGAGGCAGCAGUGCGGAAUAUUGCACAAUGGGCGGAAGCCUUAUGCAGCAACGCCGCGUGCGGGAUGACGGCCUUCGGGUUGUAAACCGCUUUCGCCUGUGACGAAGCGUGAGUGACGGUAAUGGGUAAAGAAGCACCGGCUAACUACGUG
rnacentral:rRNA from 1 species